UUAACUUUUUUUUUUCCCCUCCUCAGCAGCCCUGCCAGCAGCAGGCAGAUCCCGACGCGUCCAAGGCCAGGUGAGACAGGGCUUGGAGCAACCCGAUCCAUGAAAAUUUUCCCUUCCCAUGGCAGGAGGUGGAACGAGACGAUCUUUGAGAUCCCUUCCCACCCAAACCAUUCUGGGAUUUUAGCAUAAUACGCGUAAUAAUAACACAAACACCUUCAUGAGUACCACGAAACGCGCCGAGAAGAUAAAAAUUAAUCUCUGUAUUUAUCAAUUGCACCGGCACCGAGGGAGGCUGCGAUGUACAGAGGGCACCUGCCGGAGGGGGGGCGGGGUGGGGGCGAUCGGGGGCUCCGGGGGAGUGUCCGGGGCGUGUCCGGGGCGUGUCCCGGGGCGUGUCCGGGGCGUGUCCCGGGGCGUGUCCCGGGGCGUGUCCCGGGGCGUGUCCCGGGGCGUGUCCGGGGCGUGUCCGGGGCGUGUCCCGGGGCGUGUCCCGGGGCGUGUCCGGGGCGUGUCCGGGGCGUGUCCCGCGCUCUCCGCCCGCCACGCGUGGAGAACGCGGCCGUUCCCGCUCGGUGCCGCCGAGCGGAGCCGCCGCGAUGUCCUGCCCGGCCCAGGAGCCCGACAGGUGAGCGGGGAUGGGCUCCCUGCGCUCCCCGCGUCCCCCGCCCUGUCCCCCGCCCUGUCCCCGCCGUGUCCCCGCAGCCUCCCCGCACCACCCCGGGGGGGGCUGCGCGGCGUCUCCCGCCACCCUCGCCGCUUUGGCGCCUCCCCUUGUCCCCAUCCGCCCCCGGCGCCCUCCCGUUGUCCCUCUGCACCCUCCCGCUGUCCCCCUUCACCCUCCCGUUGUCCCUCUGCACCCUCCCGCUGUCCCCCUUCACCCUCCCGUUGUCCCCCUUCACCCUCCCGCUGUCCCCCUUCACCCUCCCGUUGUUUCCCCCUUCACCUCCCGUUGUUUCCCCUUUCACCCUCCCGCUGUAUCCCUGCCCGUCCCGCUGUCCCCCUGCCCUCCCCCCAGCCCCUCCCCUCGCGUCCUCCCAUCCCCCACCCCGCUGCAUCUCCCGCAUCCUCCCGCUCCUCCAUCCCGUCCCGGAGCCCCUCCCCAUUCCCGGGUACCGAGCCCGGAGGGUCCCUGCCGUGCCCAGAGGCCCUCCCCGGUGCCUUUGGGUGCCCCGGUCGGGCGGUGCACCUGCGGCCGCGGGGGCUCCGCGGACAAAGCGGCGCUGCCGCUCCGCCCCGCGCUCCCUCCGCGCCCGUGUUUAUCUCUUCGUGCCUUUAUCGCGCUCGGGGAGCCCCUCAGCCUCCGCGCUGCUCCCCCGCCGCCUUCGCGGUUGCAGGGUAUGAG
rnacentral:lncRNA from 1 species